GUGCGCAGCUUGCUGGAACUAUCAACAAUCUUCAACAAAGACUGCUCAACAUCUUGGCAAAGUAAAGACAUAUGUCGAUGCUCUUCAGAGAAGCUGGAUGAUCUAAAAUCCUUAACUUGACAACAAUAGGUGCUUGAAACUGAUUGUGCUAAGUCAUGGACAAAAUCAUGCAUUCUGUACUGCACCUUACCAUCAAUAUUCAAGACUUGGAAGAAUGACCUUGCUAACAACUCAUCAAAAUAUUCUAUUCCAAUCUUCUCUGCUCUGUCCAGCUGACUAGAUUGAACAAAGCCUUGAGCCAUCCAGAGUUUCACCAGCUCUUCCUUAUAAAAAGCAUAGGCCUUAGGAAAUAUGGAGCAAAUUGCAAAACAUUGCUUUAGAUGAGAAGGAAGGUGAUUAUAGCUCAAUUUUAGAGUAGGCAAAAUAUUAAGUGAAUAUGAGUCCUCUAGCUCUCUUGUGCUGCUAUUCAUAACCUUUUGCCAUUUGCUUUUUUCCACAUUACCACGCAAGAGAUUCCUCAUAGCCUUUACUGCCAAAGGCAGACCACCACACCUACGCACAAUCUUCUUACCAACGUCUUCCAAUUGCUCCUGCACCAAGCUUGACAUAUUCCCACUUCUGAAACCGUUAUUAAACAGGGACCAACAUUCAUAUUCAGGCAAACAUUCUAAAAUGUGAGGUGACUUUGUGCACGCAAUCUCUGCUACCUUCUCGUUUCUAGUAGUAAGUAAAACUUUACUGCCUUUCUCCCCCAUUUCUAAGAACUGUAGAAGGGGCUCCCAAUCUUUAUUAUAAUCCACAGACCAGACAUCAUCUAGAACAAGAAAAAAUCGUUUUCCAGGCAAAAAUGCCCUAAAUUGAGACUCUACAAGGCUUGAGGAUAAAUUAGAAGGGAGAGAAGUUUUUGAAUACGAUUCCAUCAUCUCUCUCAGGAUCUGUGUAAGAUUGAAGUGUGGGGAGACAUAGACCCACAUCCUAAAUUCAAAAUGCUUCUCUACCCUGCUGUCGUUAUAGACUACACGAGCAAGAGUUGUUUUGCCGAUACCUCCCAUUCCAACGAUGGGAAUAAGGGAAACCUUCCCCUGUUUCUCGGAUUCAUCUGAUAUCAGCAAAUUUACGAUUCUCUCCUUAUCAUCCGCCCUACCAAAAAACUCUGUUUCUAGAGAAAGACAAAUGGGCGUAUCCUUUCGAGCAUUCCCGCCAUCAACAUUAAACUCUAGAGAGAAAUUUUUCCUUUCGUCAGCAAUUCGUCCCAAUUUCGACGAAACUUCCUUGAUCCUAAGCGCAGCAUCAUAUUUAUAGGAAGUUUUACUCAAACUAAAAGGAGGGUGAAAACAGAGUACCUCCUGCUUUCUCUUCCACAGAAAAGCAUCUGUUCUGAAGGUAUCUAGCACGUCCUCUGCAUCCCAGACAGCGCCUUGGAGCUUUCGAAGCCAAUCUCUGUAAUGGGAUUCCUCCAGUUGCUUUUGUUCAGCUAUUUGAAGCACGGCUUCAAUGGCGGAUAAGUUGCUUGAGAGCUUUUCCACUUGUUCCUUGACGCCUUUGAACAAAUGAUACUUGUCUUUGAUCAAAGAGAUAGAAGGGUCGAGGAGGAUGCUGCUAACGAUGCGAAUAAUUCCAGAUAAAUUAGGGUUGCCGUCGCCCAUGGUGGUUUCUUGGAUUUCCGAAGUUUCAAACAUCUAGUAGCUGGCACUCCGGAGGAAGAUACAGUAUGGUUUUGCAUCACCAAACCCAAGGAGCGUU
rnacentral:misc_RNA from 1 species